GCGGCCGUGGCGUAACCGGCAGCCGCGUCAGGUUUAGGUCCUGGUGGGAGAAAUCCCGUGGGGGUUCGAGUCCCCCCGGCCGCA
rnacentral:tRNA from 1 species